rnacentral:rRNA from 1 species
GCUGGAUCCCCCUCAGCCGUGCGUUGCUGU